AAUUCUAGUCAUACCACCCUGAACCUGCCUGAUCUCAUCUGGUCUCGGAAGCCAAGCUGGGUCGGGCCUGGUUAGUACUUGGAUGGGAGACUGCCUGGAAAUGACAGGUGCUAUAGACU
ensembl:rRNA 5S_rRNA 5S ribosomal RNA